rnacentral:rRNA from 1 species
AUUGAACGCUAGCGGCAUGCCUUACACAUGCAAGUCGAACGGCAGCACGGGGCAACCUGGUGGCGAGUGGCGAACGGGUGAGUAAUGUAUCGGAACGUGCCCAGUAGCGGGGGAUAACUACGCGAAAGCGUAGCUAAUACCGCAUACGCCCUACGGGGGAAAGGGGGGGAUCGCAAGACCUCUCACUAUUGGAGCGGCCGAUAUCGGAUUAGCUAGUUGGUGAGGUAAAGGCUCACCAAGGCUUCGAUCCGUAGCUGGCUUGAGAGGACGACCAGCCACACUGGGACUGAGACACGGCCCAGACUCCUACGGGAGGCAGCAGUGGGGAAUUUUGGACAAUGGGGGCAACCCUGAUCCAGCAAUGCCGCGUGUGCGAAGAAGGCCUUCGGGUUGUAAAGCACUUUUGGCAGGAACGAAACGGUGCCGGAUAAUACCUGGCGCCACUGACGGUACCUGCAGAAUAAGCACCGGCUAACUACGUGCCAGCAGCCGCCGCCG